AUAGAAUCUGCACCUCAGAGACUCCAGUAUAAAUACCACUAAGAUUAAGCUGCCAGAACUAUCAAGGCAUGGGUUCAUGAUGUUCACAAUUCAGUCUGAACACCCUCUCCCCAUCCUGAAACAAGGUUCUGGGUUAGGUUCAAGCUAACUGGGGCAUAACCUUAAAUAGAAUGGCAUUGCCAAGAUCCAAGGACAAAGGGGAUUUCAUCUGGGGACUAGGGAGCAAACUAGCUCUUUGCCUACUUUGUGAGCUUUUCAGAGGACAAUGGACAGAUUUUUAUGUUCCUGCACACAAAUGAAUCUCCACCACACAAAAACAUCGCAUUAAAGAGAGAGAGAUUUCCACUGAAGCGUCUCAAAUGGCAUGAAAAACUGAUGGAUCAUUGUCACAGAUAUUAAAAGUUAAUUGGGGGACACAAGAAAGGUGAAGAAUUCGAGGCCAGCCUGGUCUACAGAGGGAGUUCCAGGACAGCCAGGACUGUUAUACAGAGAAACCCUAUCUCAAAAAACCAAAAAAAAAAAAAAAGAGAAAGAAAAAGGUAAAGAAGCAAAGGAAGAGGAGAAUGGAAAAGAGGAGGCAGAAGACGAGGAAAAGGAGAAGAUAGUAAGUAGUUAAUAUAAUUACAAUGCCCAAGAUGUUAUGGAGAAAUUUAAAUGAGGAAGAGAGUUUGCUAACCAGUAAGUGAGGUAUCUAUCUUUUGGGGGAAAAUUCCCACAUAUUAAUGUACCUUAAAAAUUAUUUUGGAAUUAUUUAUCUUAUAUGCAUGAGUGCUGUGCCUCCAUGUAUGUAUAUGAACCACAUGCUUGCCUGAUGCCUGUGGAGGUCAGAAGAGCGCAUCAGAUCUCCUGGAACUGGAGUUACAGGUAUUUGUGAGCUACCAUGUGGGUGCUUGGGGUUGAAUCCAGGUCCUCUUCCAGAGCAACAAGUUCUUUUAACUCUCGAGUGACCUCUUCAGCCCUACCCUGUGAUAGUUUGAGUGAAAACUGAUAGUUAUCAGAGGUUCAUAGGGAGUGAUAUUAAGGAUGAGGACAUGUGGCCUUGUUGGAAAAAGUGUGCCACUGGGAGUGGGCUUUGAGGUUUCAGAAGCUCAAGCCAAGCUCAGUGGCUCACUUGUCUUCCUGCUGCCUGCUGAUUUGGAUGUAGAACUCUCAGCUACCUCUCCAGUACCACAUCUACCUGCACGCUGCCAUAUUUCCCACCAUAGUGAAAAUGGACUAAACUUCUGAACUGUAAACCAGCUCCAGUGAAAUAUUUUCCUUCAUAAGAAUUGCUAUGAUCAUGGUAAUAAAACCCCAGCUAA